rnacentral:rRNA from 1 species
UCCUACGGGACGCAGCAGUGGGGAAUAUUGGGCAAUGGAGGAAACUCUUACCCAGCAAUGCCGCGUGAAUGAAGAAGGUCUUCGGAUUGUACAGUUCUUUACUUGGGGACGACAAAAAUGGCGGUACCCAAGGAAUAAGCCCCGGCUAACUACGUGCCAGCAGCCGCGGUAAUACGUAGGGGGCAAGCGUUGUUCGGACUGACUGGGCGUAAAGGGUGCGUAGGCGGUGUAGCAAGUUAGCAGUGACAUCCCUAGCGCUUCACUCCGGUGCUGCUUCU